rnacentral:rRNA from 1 species
GAUGAACGCUAGCGGGAGGCCUAAUACAUGCAAGUCGAACGGUAACAGGGUAGCAAUACCGCUGACGAGUGGCGCACGGGUGCGUAACACGUACACAAUCUACCUUAUACUGGAGCAUAACCUCGGGAAACUGAGGCUAAUUCUCCAUAACAUAUUAAAAAGGCAUCUUUUUUGAUAUUAAAACUCCGGUGGUAUAAGAUGAGUGUGCGUCUGAUUAGCUAGUUGGUGGGGUAACGGCUCACCAAGGCAACGAUCAGUAGCUGGUCUGAGAGGAUGAUCAGCCACACGGGCACUGAGACACGGGCCCGACUCCUACGGGAGGCAGCAGUAGGGAAUAUUGGACAAUGGGCGCAAGCCUGAUCCAGCCAUCCCGCGUGAAGGAUUAAGGCCCUC